UGGGGAAUAUUGGACAAUGGGCGCAAGCCUGAUCCAGCCAUGCCGCGUGAGUGAUGAAGGCCCUAGGGUUGUAAAGCUCUUUCACCGGUGAAGAUAAUGACGGUAACCGGAGAAGAAGCCCCGGCUAACUUCGUGCCAGCAGCCGCGGUAAUACGAAGGGGGCUAGCGUUGUUCGGAUUUACUGGGCGUAAAGCGCACGUAGGCGGACUUUUAAGUCAGGGGUGAAAUCCCGGGGCUCAACCCCGGAACUGCCUUUGAUACUGGAAGUCUUGAGUAUGGUAGAGGUGAGUGGAAUUCCGAGUGUAGAGGUGAAAUUCGUAGAUAUUCGGAGGAACACCAGUGGCGAAGGCGGCUCACUGGACCAUUACUGACGCUGGGGUGCGAAGGCGUGGGGAGCAAACAGG
rnacentral:rRNA from 1 species